rnacentral:rRNA from 1 species
CUUACCUGGUCUUGACAUCCACAGAACUUACCAGAGAUGGAUUGGUGCCUUCGGGAACUGUGAGACAGGUGCUGCAUGGCUGUCGUCAGCUCGUGUUGUGAAAUGUUGGGUUAAGUCCCGCAACGAGCGCAACCCUUAUCCUUUGUUGCCAGCGGUUAGGCCGGGAACUCAAAGGAGACUGCCAGUGAUAAACUGGAGGAAGGUGGGGAUGACGUCAAGUCAUCAUGGCCCUUACGACCAGGGCUACACACGUGCUACAAUGGCAUAUACAAAGAGAAGCGACCUCGCGAGAGCAAGCGGACCUCAUAAAGUUUGUCGUAGUCCGGAUUGGAGUCUGCAACUCGACUCCAUGAAGUCGGAAUCGCUAGUAAUC